GUCGGCGAUGAAGAUACACACAACACAAUUCCUUUCAAUUAACUAUUCUAUUAUUUUCAUUUCAAUUUUAAUUAAUACUAUUUAUUUUCCAUCAGACCAGAGAGACAUUCACGUGCCUUGCUCUGUUUUUUCCUUCAUUGCCCAUUUCGUUUAUUUUAUUUAUUUUUAUUUUAUUUUAUUUAUUUGGCUUUUUUGUUUUCCCUUUUUCGCAACCGAUUUCGCUUUUUCUUCUGGCUUCUGUUUGUUUGUGGGGAAAGAUUGUGGGCAGUUACGUUUGCUUCUUGUAUAUAAUAGUGGAGGGUUUUCUCAAUUUGAGAUCAAGAUUGAAACAGAGAGGAAAUGGAAGGAGGAAAGCAAACCAGCUCUUCACUUGCCUCUGAUCUCUUUGGGGCCAAGGAUUCUUCUUCUUCUUCUUCUUCUGGGAUUUUUGGUACCAUGUUUCCGCCGCCUCCAAAGGUUGUGGGGCAAGAGUAUUCUGGAACAGAGAAGAAGAUUAUAUCUGGAAAUCCAAAUUGGACUGCAAAGAAUGGUGUUGCAGAUAGAAAUGCUGUAGGAGGGCAAAACCAGAGGAAGGACGACGUCUCUUAUUAUACGGAUGAGAAGGUGCAGCCCUUUCACUACAGCUCCUCGAUAUACUACGGUGGUCAAGAUGUUUAUUCUCGCCCCGAGUCUGCUCAGAAUCCCGGGACUAGUUUCAACAAAGAUAACGGAGGAGAAGACGACUUGGGCAGUGCUUCACGAGGGAAUUGGUGGCAGGGUGCGUCGUUUAUUUUGCGUGAUGUGAUAAAAAAAAUUAUGCAAUCUAGUAUUUAAGAAUAAGAUAGAAUCCAUUGAUGGAAUGUUCUAAAUUUAUGUUAUGAAUGCAUCAUAUUGACUAUUUUUUUGGGCAGGGUCUCUUUACUAUUAAGACCUAAAUAGAUGUACUUAUUAAGGCAUAAAUAUAUUAAGCAGUGCUCCAUAUAAUGAAGAAACCAGAUGUUUAGUGACAGUUAUUAAAUCAAAACGGCAGCCUCUCUUAGCCACAGUCAAUAUUUUGUAACUGUAGCUGAGUAAACUUCAUUUGUUCCCUCUUCUUGAUCGGGGAACUAUAUAUACAUAAAUCUCAUAUUGUAGUAGUGGAGUACUAUAAUUUAUCCUUUUUGUGAUGUGCAAGAUAAUGAAAGAGGAAGUUCAAUUA